CGGGGCAAGUUGAGAAUGGCAGCCAAAACAGAAACAAAACACUGGAGAGUUUAAAAGGAAGGUGUCACAGAGACAGGAGGUGAAGAGGAAAUGAGGGAAGGGACAGGAAAUGGAGUAAGAUCACAGGGAUUGCAGAACCAUAAAGAUCUUGCCAGGCUACAGAAUACGAAGUCUGGUUCUUCAGACAACGUGAGGCUCAUGCCAAACAGUGUGAUGAAGACUAGUAUAAUGUGCAUUUUCAUGCCAAGCACUAACCAAAAAAUCAGAAAUCCACGGAACUCAAGAUGGCACUGACAUUUUCAACAUGCAGGAGUGAAUGAAGCAAAUGAUCUGUGGAAAAUUGCCAUGCAUUUCUUGUAUGCAAAAUGCAGGAGAAAUCCAAGCUGGCCAAUUAUUGCCAGUUUCAUUCAUUAGGAAAAAGUAAUGGAUGAUAUAAUCAACAGUGCUAUCAAACAGUGCAAUGACCUGCUCAGUGACAUUGAGGUUUAGGUUCCAACAGGGCCAUUCAGCUUCUGACCUCAUUACAACCUUAGUUCAAACAUGGACAAACGAGCUGAUUUCCAGAGAGAGCAAGACAGCAAGAUCUUAAACCAUCGACCCUAGGAGUUUUUUCCAUAACUGCAUACUGGCUGGCCUAAAAAGAAACACUUGGAUUUGUAAUAUUCAAAGAUCAUGUAUCUUACAUUCAAAGGAGGACUUUUGGAAAUGAAAGUGGAAACUGAAUUUUGAAGGAAACAUGGCAACGUGCUUGAAGCAACAUCUUCCAAACAACACAAUAAUAAUCAGAUAAUCCUUUAGCCAAGAUGAAAAUGCUGGCCAGAACACUGCAGAGAACUCUAUGGUCAAUUCUGAAUCGUUCCAAAGGGUUUCUUUCUUUCCACCCAAAAGUGCAUGACAGAAUCUGGCUCCAUUUCCUUCCUGAAAUUCAUGUGUAUUCCUGUGCUGAUGUAGUUCUUGAAAACACAAAGUUCCAAGAUUGUAAAAAAGAAACCAAGAGCAGAACUCUGCAAGACAGUUAAAACAAUUUCCUUGACUACCACAGCAGCUCCUGUCUGAAUCGAUCUUGCAGCUGCAUUUGUGUCUGUAGGCGUCUUUUCUCCUCAAGAGCAGCCUGUGUUGCAGCAUC